UUUGGUCAUGGAAGAGAUCUUAGAGAGUGUCUCCUUUAUUCUCACAUUUCUGAUGAAACCAAGUCAGAAAGAAUAAAGAGACUCACUCGAGGUGAUCUGUGACAGAUCCUAGCCUGGUUACCCCAGCUACAUGAUUUCCAAUGGUACUGAGUCUAACAUUAACAUUAGGUUUAAACAUUAACUUUUGUAGAUCAAGAAUGUCCACUUGUCCUUGGAAAAUUAUUUAGCAUCUCUGCAUUAGGUCCUUAAGACAGGGCCAGUAAUUGUUACCUC
rnacentral:lncRNA from 10 species